rnacentral:tRNA from 1 species
AGGGUAAUAGUUAACGAUAACAUUUAACUUGCACUUAAAAAGUAUUGCCAUUGCAAUUUACCUUA